CCUACGGGGGGCUGCAGUGGGGAAUAUUGGACAAUGGGGGCAACCCUGAUCCAGCCAUGCCGCGUGUGUGAAGAAGGCCCUCGGGUUGUAAAGCACUUUCAGUGAGGAAGAACGCCUGGUGGUUAAUACCCAUCAGGAAAGACAUCACUCACAGAAGAAGCACCGGCUAACUCCGUGCCAGCAGCCGCGGUAAUACGGAGGGGGCGAGCGUUAAUCGGAAUUACUGGGCGUAAAGCGCGCGUAGGUGGCUUGAUAAGCCGGUUGUGAAAGCCCCGGGCUCAACCUGGGAACGGCAUCCGGAACUGUCAAGCUAGAGUGCAGGAGAGGAAGGUAGAAUUCCCGGUGUAGCGGUGAAAUGCGUAGAGAUCGGGAGGAAUACCAGUGGCGAAGGCGGCCUUCUGGACUGACACUGACACUGAGGUGCGAAAGCGUGGGUAGCAAACAGGAUUAGAUACCCCGGUAGUC
rnacentral:rRNA from 1 species